CUGCCCGGACCCGACUGCUAUCAGAGUGAGACUAAGCCAUGCGAGUCAACGUAUGAAUAAUACGUGGCGAACGGCUCAGUAACACGUAGUCAACAUGCCCAAAGGACGUGGAUAACCUCGGGAAACUGAGGAUAAACCGCGAUAGGUCAUAAGUACUGGAAUGUUUUAUGGCUCAAAUCUACAUGGCCUCUGGAUUGGACUGCGGCCGAUCAGGCUGUUGGUGAGGUAAUGGCCCACCAAACCUGUUACCGGUACGGGCUCUGAGAGGAGGAGCCCGGAGAUGGGCACUGAGACAAGGGCCCAGGCCCUAUGGGGCGCAGCAGGCGCGAAACCUCUGCAAUAGGCGAAAGCUUGACAGGGUUACUCUGAGUGAUUCCCGCUAAGGGAAUCUUUUGGCAUCUCUAAAAACGAUGCAGAAUAAGGGGUGGGCAAGUCUGGUGUCAGCCGCCGCGGUAAUACCAGCACCCCGAGUGGUCGGGACGAUUAUUGGGCCUAAAGCAUCCGUAGCCGGUCUUGCAAGUCUUCCGUUAAAUCCACCUGCUUAACAGAUGGGCUGCGGAAGAUACUACAAGACUAGGAGGCGGGAGAGGCAAGCGGUACUCAGUGGGUAGGGGUAAAAUCCUCUGAUCCAUUGAAGACCACCAGUGGCGAAGGCGGCUUGCCAGAACGCGCUCGACGGUGAGGGAUGAAAGCUGGGGGAGCAAACCGGAUUAGAUACCCGGGUAGUCCCAGCUGUAAACGAUGCAGACUCGGUGAUGGGCCGGCUUCAUGCCGGCUCAGUGCCGCAGGGAAGCCGUUAAGUCUGCCGCCUGGGGAGUACGGUCGCAAGACUGAAACUUAAAGGAAUUGGCGGGGGAGCACCACAAGGGGUGAAGCCUGCGGUUCAAUUGGAUC
rnacentral:rRNA from 1 species